UACGUAGGGUCCGAGCGUUGUCCGGAAUUAUUGGGCGUAAAGAGCGCGUAGGCGGUCCGUUAAGUGUAGAGUGAAAGCUCCGGGCUCAACUCGGAAAUUGCUCUGCAUACUGGCGGACUCGAGGACGGAAGAGGUUUGUGGAAUUCCUGGUGUAGCGGUGAAAUGCGUAGAUAUCAGGAGGAACACCCAUGGCGAAGGCAGCAAACUGGUCCGUAUCUGACGCUGAGGCGCGAAAGCGUGGGUAGCAAACAGG
rnacentral:rRNA from 1 species